rnacentral:rRNA from 1 species
UCAGGCGUCGAGCGGCGGACGGGUGAGUAAUACUUAGGAAUCUACCUAGUAGUGGGGGAUAGCUCGGGGAAACUCGAAUUAAUACCGCAUACGACCUACGGGAGAAAGGGGGCAGUUUACUGCUCUCGCUAUUAGAUGAGCCUAAGUCGGAUUAGCUAGAUGGUGGGGUAAAGGCCUACCAUGGCGACGAUCUGUAGCUGGUCUGAGAGGAUGAUCAGCCACACCGGGACUGAGACACGGCCCGGACUCCUACGGGAGGCAGCAGUGGGGAAUAUUGGACAAUGGGGGGAACCCUGAUCCAGCCAUGCCGCGUGUGUGAAGAAGGCCUUUUGGUUGUAAAGCACUUUAAGCGAGGAGGAGGCUCCUUUAGUUAAUACCUAAAGUGAGUGGACGUUACUCGCAGAAUAAGCACCGGCUAACUCUGUGCCAGCAGCCGCGGUAAUACAGAGGGUGCGAGCGUUAAUCGGAUUUACUGGGCGUAAAGCGUGCGUAGGUGGCCAAUUAAGUCAAAUGUGAAAUCCCUGAGCUUAACUUAGGA